CCCGAAAGCUGUUCUUAUUUAACGUCGAUUCCUUCAGAGAUGGCCCAGAGAGUGACGUGCCAAAUGAAAUCGUGUCUAUUCCGAACCUUUGCUCAAGCAUGCGCGCGGAGGAUAAUCACGCUUAUGUUGCAGAAAAGGCUCGUUGUGAGGAAAAGGAAUUCCUUCCAACAAAGAGAAGAGGCCUCAAAACUCGCAUUUUAAAGUUCUUUGGAUUUAAAUAAAAUGCUACAAAUAUGAG